rnacentral:rRNA from 1 species
AUUGAACGCUGGCGGCAUGCCUUACACAUGCAAGUCGAGCGCGAAAGGGGGCAACCCCGAGUAGAGCGGCGGACGGGUGAGUAACACAUCGGAACGUGCCCAGUAGUGGGGGACAACCUCGAGAAAUCGAGGCUAAUACCGCAUACGACCCACGGGUGAAAGCGGGGGACCGCAAGGCCUCGCGCUAUUGGAGCGGCCGAUGUCCGAUUAGCUAGUUGGCGGGGUAANAGCCCACCAAGGCGACGAUCGGUAGCUGGUCUGAGAGGACGACCAGCCACACUGGGACUGAGACACGGCCCAGACUCCUACGGGAGGCAGCAGUGGGGAAUUUUGGACAAUGGGGCAACCCUGAUCCAGCCAUGCCGCGUGCGGGAAGAAGGCC